AUUGAACGCUGGCGGCAGGCCUAACACAUGCAAGUCGAGCGGAUGAAGGGAGCUUGCUCCUGGAUUCAGCGGCGGACGGGUGAGUAAUGCCUAGGAAUCUGCCUGGUAGUGGGGGAUAACGUCCGGAAACGGGCGCUAAUACCGCAUACGUCCUGAGGGAGAAAGUGGGGGAUCUUCGGACCUCACGCUAUCAGAUGAGCCUAGGUCGGGUUAGCUAGUUGGUGGGGUAAAGGCCUACCAAGGCGACGAUCCGUAACCGGUCUGAGAGGAUGGUCAGUCACACUGGAGCUGAGAACAGGUCCAGACUCCUACGGGGGGCAGCAGUGGGGAAUAUUGGACAAUGGGCGAAAGCCUGAUCCAGCCAUGCCGCGUGUGUGAAGAAGGUCUUCGGAUUGUAAAGCACUUUAAGUUGGGAGGAAGGGCAGUAAGUUAAUACCUUGCUGUUUUGACGUUACCAACAGAAUAAGCACCGGCUAACUUCGUG
rnacentral:rRNA from 1 species